rnacentral:rRNA from 1 species
UACAGAGGUCCCGAGCGUUGUUCGGAUUCACUGGGCGUAAAGGGUGCGUAGGUGGCUGGGCAAGUUUGAUGUGAAGGCUCAGGGCUUAACCCUGAAAUGGCAUUGAAUACUGCCUGGCUGGAGGUUUGGAGGGGGGACUGGAAUUCUUGGUGUAGCAGUGAAAUGCGUAGAUAUCAAGAGGAACACCAGUGGCGAAGGCGAGUCCCUGGACAACACCUGACACUGAGGCACGAAAGCCGGGGGAGCAAACAGG